UACGUAGGGCGCAAGCGUUGUCCGGAAUUAUUGGGCGUAAAGAGCUCGUAGGCGGUUUGUUGCGUCGGCUGUGAAAUCCCGAGGCUCAACCUCGGGUCUGCAGUCGAUACGAGCAAACUAGAGUGUUGCAGGGGAGACUGGAAUUCCUGGUGUAGCGGUGAAAUGCGCAGAUAUCAGGAGGAACACCGGUGGCGAAGGCGGGUCUCUGGGCAGCAACUGACGCUGAGGAGCGAAAGCGUGGGGAGCGAACAGG
rnacentral:rRNA from 1 species